CAGUGGUCCCUAAGGCGACCGUUCUUGGGCGCGGCUCGGAGAAGCAGCUUUGCAGGCAGAAGGCGCGCUCCUGGCUGCAAGGAGCCGCGUACACCGCGCGGCGAGGACGCUGGGAGCUACUACGGUCCGCUGACCGCCCCGGGACUUUGGGGCUGCGUAAGGAACUCAUCAGUGUCAACCGAUUAGAAAUCAGGGGUUAAGAAGAAAGCCACGGUUACUCCAGCCUCUGGCGGGCAAAGUUGUCCGGGUCCUGCCUGCCUGCCGGCUUUCUCUUCCUCCUUCCUUGCAUCCGUUUCAUCCGUUUCUCCCCCCUUCCUUUCAGACUCAUUCUUGUUCUUUCUUCUCUCAAAUCGCUUUUCCUCAACCAUACCCGGCCAACACUCUCCCUCCCCAAGACAGUCUGAGACUCAUAUUGCAGCUGGAAAACGUAUCACUUAAGAGAAAGCUCUUCCAGGGGAAAGAAUUCGAAUUGAAGUGAAAGGGAGAUCAGAGGAGAGAGAGGGAGACCCCGCCCCGAUAGUCCAGAACACGCUGUAACAAAGCAAAGUCCACGGGAGCUUCACGCUCUACCCUCCAACCUGGCUGCAGGCACCAAAGCAGAACUUCUCCUAACUCAAGCUAAGAAUAGGGAAAAGAAGUCAAGCUCGGGGCCCGGCCCUGCCCCCUCCCGCAGGCGGGGCUGGGGGAGGGGAGAUUUCUCCAGCCGGCUGAUGCUCCCUUGCUCAACCCGGGCCCCUUGGCUGCGGCGGUCUGGGGGAGGGGCGCGGAGCCGCACUGGAGCCUGCCCGGCCCUCGCGCGGAGCCAGGGCCACGGCCAGGGACCUGCGGUCCGACCCGGGCUGACGGCGGCGGCGUACUGGGAGCCGGUGGGAAGAUGAUUGUAGCUGCGACCGCGGAACUGCAGGAGGGAGACCACGAGGAAGUGUUGGGGGAAGCCAAGCCUCAGCUCAGCCCGGGCAGCAAGCACCUACCUGAUUCCAGGGAACCGGAGUCCUGCGGUGGCAGUCACGUAAUGAUCGGGUAUCAGAAAAAGACGUCAGCAUCCUAGUCCCUCAAGGAACAUAUUAACUAUUUUGUGCUGUCCUCUUGGAUGAUAAGAUCCGGAGUCAUCGACUUCUCAUAAACACCUUUCACUGAUACAAUCCAAUUUUUAAGAAGUGCAAUUAUUUUGAUGGUUUUCAAUGUUGCCCAUUUCUCAACGAUGGGUAAAGAAUUCAUACAAUUUCGAGGAUGGUAAAAGUCAUGUUUUUAAUUAUGUCUCUAUGAUUUCUCUUUACUUUUCAUCAAGCCUCAGCAAUCAGAGCUCUGGCCUCUAGAAUUAAGCACCCUCAAGCUCUCCUAUUAAUAAAUUUAAUUUAGAUCUCCUAA